rnacentral:rRNA from 1 species
CCUACGGGUGUCAGCAGUGGGGAAUAUUGCACAAUGGGCGAACGCCUGAUGCAGCAACGCCGCGUGAGUGAUGACGGCCUUCGGGUUGUAAAGCUCUGUCUUCAGGGACGAUAAUGCCGGUACCUGAGGAGGCAGCCACGGCUAACUACGUGCCAGCAGCCGCGGUAAUACGUAGGGGGCGAGCGUUGUCCGGAUUUACUGGGCGUAAAGGGAGCGUAGGCGGACUUUUAAGUGAGAUGUGAAAUACUCGGGCUCAACUUGAGUGCUGCAUUUCAAACUGUAAGGCUAGAGUGCAGUAGAGGAGAAUGGAAUUCCUAGUGUAGCGGUGAAAUGCGUAGAGAUUAGGAAGAACACCAGUGGCGAAGGCGAUUCUCUGGACUGUAACUGACGCGGAGGCUCGAAAGCGUGGGGAGCAAACAGGAUUAGAUACCCGGGUAGUC